ACUGCUGCUGCUGGGACCCGCGCGCUACUGUUUGGUCUGCUUGUCUCUGCUGUUAACGUGACAUGCAGUAUUACCUGUAUUAUUACCUGGAGUAUUAUCUGCAUUAUUACCUGAGUAUUUUACAUACGCCUGUGAAUUUGACUUGUGGGAUGUCAACGGAGAACAGAAGACUGGAACAUGAACACAGAGGAAGGAUCCAACGGGAUCUGGUCACUUCAGUAAAGUUAAGUGAAUUUAUAUCUUGCAAAAAUAUUGAAGAUCAGGUAAGAAAACAUUUUCCGUUAUUUUCUAACGUAAUGUUAUGUUUUGUGUUCAUGUCCUUAAUGUAUGUAACUAACCCAGUCUAAAACUAUUUCAUUUUAGACAAAUUAAUUAAUUAAUUUCAAAUGUUUAAAAAGUAACGUUAUUACAUUUAAAUCUGUUAAUUCGAGUGUUUUAAUACAGUUCAUAGUGGUGCUAUAGGCGGAUAAAAUGACUGUGACAAAGAGUUAGGUUAGCUAGUUAAGUAAACUAGCUACAGGUAACGUUAGCUUGUUAGCAUGAUUCUGUCUCCAGGACAGAAAAAACAUACUUGAAUGUGGUUUAGAGGGGAGGGGAGGGGGAGAGAUGCGUGCUCCGUAACAUGCCCACACGACACGUCACUGGGGGGGUGAGGGGAGAGAUGCGUGCUCCGUAACAUGCCCACACGACACGUCACUGGGGGGGGUGAGGGGGGAGAUGCGUGCUCCGUAACAUGCCCCCAUGACACGUCACUGGGGGGGUGAGGGGAGAGAUGCAUGCUCCAUAACAUGCCCACAUGACACGUCACUGGGGGGGGUGAGGGGAGAGAUGCAUGCUCCAUAACAUGCCCACAUGACACGUCACUGGGGGGGUGAGGGAAGAGAUGCGUGUUCCAUAACAUGCCCACAUGACACGUCACUGGGGGGGUGAGGGAAGAGAUGCGUGUUCCGUAACAUAUCCCCAUGACACGUCACUGGGGGGGUUAAGUGUAAUAUAUUAAAUGUAUAGUGUGCCGUUACUGAUUUCUUAACAGUAUAUAAGUUAUUAAUUAAUGAGAAGCAUUUCUUAUGUUCCAAGGGAACAGCUUUGAGAUAUAACUUACAGUAUUCUUCACUGUUUCACUGUACUUCACACAGCAAAGGACCAUAAGCAGUGCAUCACCUGUGAGAUCAUGAGAUGGCUGAAGAACCAGGAGUGACCCUAAGCAGUGCAUCACCUGUGAGAUCAUGAGAUGGCUGAAGAACCAGGAGUGACCCUAAGCAGUGCAUCACCUGUGAGAUCAUGAGAUGACUGAAGAACCAGGAGUGACCCUAAGCAGUGCAUCACCUGUGAGAUCAUGAGAAGGCUGAAGAACCAGGAGUGACCCUAAGCAGUGCAUCACCUGUGAGAUCAUGAGAAGGCUGAAGAACCAGGAGUGACAAGAUACCACCGGAUGGUGGGACACAGAAUUAAACCCAGGGACAGUGAUCUGAAAAUGCCUGUUCUCCGACGUUCCCCAUCCAACCUGACAGCUUGAGAGGAUCUGCAGAGAAUGGCAGAAAAUCCCCAAAUCCAGAUCAAGCAUUGGAACAACGUUUACGGAGAACAGGCACCCAACAACACCCAAAGUCCAUCACUAAUGCACCAAGGAUCAGGCUGAUUACUGACGAUUUCGAAGCUUUUUCUUUAUCUGCACUGUCACUUAUGGUAAAGAUUCAUUGACCUUUUGCGGUAUGUUUUGAUUUGACUUAUUAAUACACUGCAUAGUUGGGAUUCUGAAAAGACCUCAUCAUGAUAGUAACUAACAGUCAAGAGAGACACAUGGAGAAAUGCCAUUUUUAGUUCUUCAAUUCCUCUUGGGGGGCUCUGAAGAACUGUUUGUGAAUAAUUGGUUGAUUUUGUAAAUAAAUAUCUAAAUACAUUAAAUACAAUUGUUUUAAAAUCAA